ACGACCUUACUUGAUCAGGAUCUCUUCUAUAGGUUUGUACUUCUGUUUCCUUGAUUUCUCAAGAGACAGGCCCUUAACCCUGGUUGAUGAACCAUGACCGUGAUUGACGGCUACGAUCGUCUUCGGACGCAUCCGAUGCUGUAGAGGAUCGUUACUCGGCCCGGUACUACCUUGCCGGGGUGGUUGCACGGCGGUCUGACAGGUU